GAAGAGUUCAGGUUCAUCAUUUUGUAGAAUAUUCUUCAGUUGGAUUUGUCUGGUAUUUCCUCAUGAUUAGAUGAAUUUUUGCAUGAAUACCAUGGAAGCAAGUUAUGUCCUUUUCAAUGUUCCCUGGAGUCACAAAUUAGCUUCUAAAAAUUAAAAAAAAAAUUAAUGUUUGGUAAAAUACAAUAACAAAAUUUACCAUCUUAACAUUUUUAAAUGUACACUUCAUCAGCAGUAAGCACAUUCACACUGCUUCAUAGCCAACCUCCAGAACUCUUCAUCUUCAGAAGUGAAACUAUAUUAUUUUGAUUGCUGCUGCUUCUUCCCCUUGAAAUGUUUUAUUUUCUUUGAUGUUUUUUUUUUCUGUGCUCUUGUAUCAUUUUCUUCCUUAAAUCUUGUUCAUUUUUGAAGACCUAGCUUAAGUCCUACACUUUGAUUAAAGCUGCUCUAUUGUAGGAUGGAAAACUUUUCCCUUCUUUUCUUUUAGGUUAUUGGGCUGAUCUAAUAAUUAAAUCGACAUAAGACAUGAACAGGAGCAAAACAAAUUUUGUAUGUACAGGAGCCUCAUAGAAAUAUUAGACUCCCUGACAGAAUGUUCUUCCUUAAAGUCUCAUUUGUUCUUCGUAGUGCAACUCAUAUGCCAUCGUGUUUACAUACUCUUCUGGACUCCUUGUCCUCAGAUGAGUUUCUUCCCUUCAGUUAGAAUUGAUUGUGAUGGGGCACCUGAGUGGCUCAGUGGUUUAAAGCCCCUGCCUUCGGUUCAGGUCUUGAUCCCAGGGACCUGGGAUUGAGCCCCGCAUCGGGCUCUCUGCUUCCUCCUCUCUCUCUCUCUGACUGCCUCUCUGCCUACUUGUGAUCUCUGUCUGUCAAAUAAAUAAAUAAAUAAUCUUAAAAAAAAAAAGACUUGAUUGUGAUGUUAUUGCUGCUCCUGGUUUAUUU
rnacentral:lncRNA from 1 species